UAGAGUUUGAUCCUGGCUCAGAUUGAACGCUGGCGGCAUGCCUUACACAUGCAAGUCGGACGGCAGCGCGGGCUUCGGCCUGGCGGCGAGUGGCGAACGGGUGAGUAAUACAUCGGAACGUGUCCUGGAGUGGGGGAUAGCCCGGCGAAAGCCGGAUUAAUACCGCAUACGCUCUGCGGAGGAAAGCGGGGGACCUUCGGGCCUCGCGCUCAAGGGGCGGCCGAUGGCAGAUUAGCUAGUUGGUGGGGUAAAGGCCUACCAAGGCGACGAUCUGUAGCUGGUCUGAGAGGACGACCAGCCACACUGGGACUGAGACACGGCCCAGACUCCUACGGGAGGCAGCAGUGGGGAAUUUUGGACAAUGGGGGCAACCCUGAUCCAGCAAUGCCGCGUGUGUGAAGAAGGCCUUCGGGUUGUAAAGCACUUUUGUCCGGAAAGAAAGCGUCCUGGCUAAUACCCGGGGCGGAUGACGGUACCGGAAGAAUAAGCACCGGCUAACUACGUGCCAGCAGCCGCGGUAAUACGUAGGGUGCGAGCGUUAAUCGGAAUUACUGGGCGUAAAGCGUGCGCAGGCGGUUCGCUAAGACCGAUGUGAAAUCCCCGGGCUUAACCUGGGAACUGCAUUGGUGACUGGCGGGCUAGAGUAUGGCAGAGGGAGGUAGAAUUCCACGUGUAGCAGUGAAAUGCGUAGAGAUGUGGAGGAAUACCGAUGGCGAAGGCAGCCUCCUGGGCCAAUACUGACGCUCAUGCAC
rnacentral:rRNA from 1 species